rnacentral:rRNA from 1 species
GACGAACGCUGGCGGCGUGCUUAACACAUGCAAGUCGAACGGUGAAAGGGAGCUUGCUCCCUGGAUCAGUGGCGAACGGGUGAGUAACACGUGGGCAACCUGCCCCAGACUUCGGGAUAACGCUUCGAAAGAGGUGCUAAUACCGGAUACGAACUCCUUGGGCAUCCUUGGAGUUGGAAAGUUUGUCGGUCUGGGAUGGGCCCGCGGCCUAUCAGCUUGUUGGUGAGGUAACGGCUCACCAAGGCGACGACGGGCAGCCGGCCUGAGAGGGCGACCGGCCACACUGGGACUGAGACACGGCCCAGACUCCUACGGGAGGCAGCAGUGGGGAAUAUUGCGCAAUGGGCGAAAGCCUGACGCAGCAACGCCGCGUGAGGGAUGACGGCCUUCGGGUUGUAAACCUCUUUCAGCAGGGAAGAAGCGAAAGUGACGGUACCUGCAGAAGAAGCACCGGCUAACUACGUGCCAGCAGCCGCCGUAA